GAUGAACGCUGGCGGCGUGCCUAAUACAUGCAAGUCGAGCGAACAGACGAGGAGCUUGCUCCUUUGACGUUAGCGGCGGACGGGUGAGUAACACGUGGGUAACCUACCUAUAAGACUGGGAUAACUUCGGGAAACCGGAGCUAAUACCGGAUAAUAUUUCGAACCGCAUGGUUCGAUAGUGAAAGAUGGCUUUGCUAUCACUUAUAGAUGGACCUGCGCCGUAUUAGCUAGUUGGUAAGGUAACGGCUUACCAAGGCAACGAUACGUAGCCGACCUGAGAGGGUGAUCGGCCACACUGGAACUGAGACACGGUCCAGACUCCUACGGGAGGCAGCAGUAGGGAAUCUUCCGCAAUGGGCGAAAGCCUGACGGAGCAACGCCGCGUGAGUGAUGAAGGUCUUCGGAUCGUAAAACUCUGUUAUUAGGGAAGAACAAACGUGUAAGUAACUGUGCACGUCUUGACGGUACCUAAUCAGAAAGCCACGGCUAACUACGUGCCAGCAGCCGCGGUAAUACGUAGGUAGCAAGCGUUAUCCGGAAUUAUUGGGCGUAAAGCGCGCGUAGGCGGUUUUUUAAGUCUGAUGUGAAAGCCCACGGCUCAACCGUGGAGGGUCAUUGGAAACUGGAAAACUUGAGUGCAGAAGAGGAAAGUGGAAUUCCAUGUGUAGCGGUGAAAUGCGCAGAGAUAUGGAGGAACACCAGUGGCGAAGGCGACUUUCUGGUCUGUAACUGACGCUGAUGUGCGAAAGCGUGGGGAUCAAACAGGAUUAGAUACCCUGGUAGUCCACGCCGUAAACGAUGAGUGCUAAGUGUUAGGGGGUUUCCGCCCCUUAGUGCUGCAGCUAACGCAUUAAGCACUCCGCCUGGGGAGUACGACCGCAAGGUUGAAACUCAAAGGAAUUGACGGGGACCCGCACAAGCGGUGGAGCAUGUGGUUUAAUUCGAAGCAACGCGAAGAACCUUACCAAAUCUUGACACCCUUUGCUCCUUCUAGAGAUAGAAGUUUCCCCUUCGGGGGACAAAGUGACAGGUGGUGCAUGGUUGUCGUCAGCUCGUGUCGUGAGAUGUUGGGUUAAGUCCCGCAACGAGCGCAACCCUUAAGCUUAGUUGCCAUCAUUAAGUUGGGCACUCUAAGUUGACUGCCGGUGACAAACCGGAGGAAGGUGGGGAUGACGUCAAAUCAUCAUGCCCCUUAUGAUUUGGGCUACACACGUGCUACAAUGGACAAUACAAAGGGCAGCGAAACCGCGAGGUCAAGCAAAUCCCAUAAAGUUGUUCUCAGUUCGGAUUGUAGUCUGCAACUCGACUACAUGAAGCUGGAAUCGCUAGUAAUCGUAGAUCAGCAUGCUACGGUGAAUACGUUCCCGGGUCU
rnacentral:rRNA from 1 species